AUGAUUCUUGUUGUGGGGUUUAGCCUUUUGUUUUUCUACAAGGGCAUGUUAUGUGUCAAGAUGACUCAGAGUUCCCCGGACCAGACAGUGGCAAGUGGCAGUCAGGUGGUACUGCUUUGCACUUAUGAUGCUGAAUUCUCAAAUCCAGAUUUAUACUGGUACCGAAUGGGGCCAGAUCAUUCUUUUCAAUUUGUCCUUUACAGGGAUAUCAGUAAAUCUCUAAAUGCAGAUUUUACUCAAGGUCGGUUUUCUGUGAAGCACAGUCAGACCCAGAAAACCUUCCACCUGGUAAUCUCCCCAGUGAAGACUGAAGACAGUGCCACUUACUACUGUGGCUUUAGCACAGUGACGCAGGUGCCCGGGAAGUCUGCACACAAACCCUUGGGUCACAGCUCAGUGGAGCUGCCUCUUAGGGCAGGUCACUUCCUGGACCUGGCAUCCUUCUCCUAG